AGUUCGGACUGUAGUCUGCAACCCGACUACACGAAGCUGGAAUCGCUAGUAAUCGCGGAUCAGAAUGCCGCGGUGAAUACGUUCCCGGGUCUUGUACACACCGCCCGUCACACCAUGGGAGUCGGUAACGCCCGAAGCCAGUGACCCAACCUUAGGGAGGGAGCUGUCGAAGGCGGGACGGAUAACUGGGGUGAAGUCGUAACAAGGUAGC
rnacentral:rRNA from 1 species